rnacentral:misc_RNA from 1 species
AACGCACCUUGCACUCUAUGGUAUUCCGUAGAGUACGCCAGUUUCAGUGUCAUGAAAACAAUCAACCUUGCCUUUGGUUUGUUCCUUGGGCUCGGCUUGGAUCUGGGCGUUUGCCGGCCUCUCGGUCGGCUCGCCUCAAAUGCAUUAGCUGGACUUGUCUUGAACCGGUUCUACUUGGCGUAAUAAGUAUUUCGCUGAGGACAUCCGCUUCGGCGGUGGCCGGAUCGAGUCAAUCGUCUGCUUUCCAACCCUCUCUUUGGAGAACACUUUAUCAUCUGUCCUGAAAUCUGGUGGGAUUACCCGCUGAACUUAA